AUUGAACGCUAGCGGGAUGCUUUACACAUGCAAGUCGAACGAGUGUCGGUCGGGUGCGUCAUAUAUCGGCACGUGCCCACUACCUGUGGAUAACUACUCGAAAUUGUGGCUAAUACCGCAUACUAUUGUCGCGUCCCAUAUCGGAUUAGCUAGUUGGUGGGGUAUCGGCUAACCAAGGCAACGAUCCGUAGCUGGUUUGAGAGGACGACCGGCCAAACUGGGAAUGAGACACGGCCCAGACUCCUACGGGAGGCAGAAGUGGGGAAUUUUGGAAAAUGGGGGAAACCCUGAUCCAGCCAGCCCGCGUGGAGGAGAGGGCCUUCGGGUUGUAAAGUACUUUUGGAAGGGAAGCGGUAUCUGAAGAAUAAGCACCGGCUAACUACGUGCCAGCAGCCGCGGUAAUUC
rnacentral:rRNA from 1 species